GAAAUGCGAUAAGUAGUGUGAAUUGCAGAAUUCAGUGAAUCAUCGAAUCUUUGAACGCACAUUGCGCCCCUUGGUAUUCCAUGGGGCAUGCCUGUUCGAGCGUCAUUUGUACCCUCAAGCUCUGCUUGGUGUUGGGUGUUUGUCCCCGUCUCCGCGCGUGGACUCGCCCCAAAGUGAUUGGCUGCCGGCGUACUGGUCCCGGAGCGCAGCACAUGUCGCGCAAACGAGUGCCUUGGUACGGCGGCGUCCAUAAGCCCCUCUCUCACGCUCUUGACCUCGGAUCAGGUAGGGAUACCCGCUGAACUUAAGC
rnacentral:misc_RNA from 1 species